rnacentral:rRNA from 1 species
ACACAUGCAAGUCGAACGGAGCUUAGAGAGCUUGCUUUUUAAGCUUAGUGGCGAGCGGGUGAGUAACGCGUAAGUAACCUGCCCUAGAGUGGGGGACAACAGUUGGAAACGACUGCUAAUACCGCAUAAGCCCACGGUGCCGCAUGACACUGAGGGAAAAGGAUUUAUUCGCUUUAGGAUGGACUCGCGUCCAAUUAGCUAGUUGGUGAGGUAACGGCCCACCAAGGCGACGAUUGGUAGCCGGACUGAGAGGUUGAACGGCCACAUUGGGACUGAGACACGGCCCAGACUCCUACGAGAGGCAGCAGUGGGGGAUAUUGCACAAUGGGGGAAACCCUGAUGCAGCGACGCCGCGUGGAGGAAGAAGGUUUUCGGAUUGUAAACUCCUGUCGUUAGGGACGAUAAUGACGGUACCUAACAAGAAAGCACCGGCUAACUACGUGCCAGCAGCCGCGGUAAAACGUAGGGUGCAAGCGUUGUCCGGAAUUACUGGGUGUAAAGGGAGCGCAGGCGGGAAGACAAGUUGGAAGUGAAAACCAUGGGCUCAACCCAUGAAUUGCUUUCAAAACUGUUUUUCUUGAGUAGUGCAGAGGUAGAUGGAAUUCCCGGUGUAGCGGUGGAAUGCGUAGAUAUCGGGAGGAACACCAGUGGCGAAGGCGGUCUACUGGGCACCAACUGACGCUGAGGCUCGAAAGCAUGGGUAGCAAACAGGAUUAGAUACCCUGGUAGUCCAUGCCGUAAACGAUGAUUACUAGGUGUUGGGGGAUUGACCCCCUCAGUGCCGCAGUUAACACAAUAAGUAAUCCACCUGGGGAGUACGACCGCAAGGUUGAAACUCAAAGGAAUUGACGGGGGCCCGCACAAGCAGUGGAGUAUGUGGUUUAAUUCGAAGCAACGCGAAGAACCUUACCAGGUCUUGACAUCCGAUGCAUAGCACAGA